rnacentral:pre_miRNA from 1 species
GGACUAUGGUGCAGCCAAGGAUGACUUGCCGAUCGAAACGAUGCACAAUAUGCAUCGAUCGGCGAGUUGUUCUUGGCUACAUCUUAGCUCCU